rnacentral:tRNA from 1 species
GGCAAGGUGGCGGAGUGGUUACGCACCGGUUUGCAAAACCGUCCCACACGGGUUCGAAUCCCGUCCUUGCCUCCA